rnacentral:rRNA from 1 species
GACGAACGCUGGCGGCGUGCUUAACACAUGCAAGUCGAACGAAAAGAGGGAAAGAGCUUGCUCUUUCCGGAAUUGAGUGGCAAACGGGUGAGUAACACGUAAACAACCUGCCUUCAGGAUGGGGACAACAGACGGAAACGACUGCUAAUACCGAAUAAGUUCCAAGGGCCGCAUGGCCCAUGGAAGAAAAGGUGGCCUCUACCUGUAAGCUAUCGCCUGAAGAGGGGUUUGCGUCUGAUUAGCUGGUUGGAGGGGUAACGGCCCACCAAGGCGACGAUCAGUAGCCGGUCUGAGAGGAUGAACGGCCACACUGGAAUUGAGACACGGUCCAGACUCCUACGGGAGGCAGCAGUGGGGAAUCUUCCGCAAUGGGCGAAAGCCUGACGGAGCAACGCCGCGUGAGUGAUGACGGCCUUCGGGUUGUAAAACUCUGUGAUCCGGGACGAAAAGGCAGAGUGCGAAGAGCAAACUGCAUUGACGGUACCGGAAAAGCAAGCCACGGCUAACUACGUG